rnacentral:rRNA from 1 species
AUGGAGAGCAGCGGCGACCCCGGAGUAUUUGGCGAGGCAGGCAUCGGGCCGGAGAUCCGCCGCGUCCACGACUGGGUUCCCGAGGGGAUGGAAUUGUGGUUUGCUUUCUUGAUGCACAUUAGAAGGGACCGGUACACGUUCGAUGCAAAGGAUCAGAAGAAAUACCAAGGAGGUUUUGAUUAUCGGUUGCCAAUGGCUAGUAACUGGAGUUUCAGACAAUUUGGGGAGGCAUUUGGACCUAGGAUGAUGGGUGCAACAUCUCGGGGAGAACCAAGUCAUUGUAAUGGCAUCUCUAGCCAGAACAGUUCAGUUGGUGCACGGCGACGUGGUGGCUCGACAAGUGUGGGCAACAGCAGUAGGGUCCCCCUUGAAGUGGAGCCUGAUGACUACAAUUCUGGGGUUGAUGAAGAGAAGCUAUAUUCUGAUGUUAUUCGGAAUUUACGACGGGCACCUCGGGUUGAUAACCAAGAUGAGGCUCACAAUGCAGUCCGUGUGGAUGAUGACGCGGUGGGUGAGGACGAAGACCUUGCAGCUGUUGAAUGGGACCCUUUGAACCCUCAUAUGGAAGAAGGCUUCGAUGAAAAUGUUGGUCAGCAGCCGGUUGCCUCAACAGAUGAUGAAAAUGAUGGACAACAGCCAGUUGCAUCAGAUGAGGAUUUUAACGAGGUUCGAAAUGAUGAUUGUCAACAGCCGCAUGAUUUUGACGAUGAUCCAAAAUAUCCUCCAAAUAAUGAUUCAAGUGAGGCUCCAAAUGAUGAUCCAAGUGAGGCUCCAAAUAGUGAUCAUGGUGAUCCAAGUGAGGCUCCAAAUGGUGAUCCAAAUAAUGAUCAUGAUGAUCCAAGUGAGGCUCCAAAUGAUGAUCCAAGUGAGGCUACAAAUGGUGACCAACCUUCUGUUGUUGUGAGUUCUGCUAGCUCUGUGAUAGGUUUGAAGAAGAUGCACAAGGUACCGACAACCAAGAGGAGAAGAGAAGAAGCAAUGAGCACAAGAUCCGAUCCAUUCUCUCCAACUUCAAACACCCAAUCGACCGAGCCCUCCCCAAGCGAGACCAUGCAGUUCAACGGGCCAACCUUGAGCCGUCCGCCUGUCGUGCCGGAGCUGCGCUACCCACCAGGCAUGCUCGUGGAGAGGGAGCUCCGUGUGUGGGCUAUUUCAAGGUGGAGGGGUUCCGUCAAACUCACCCGCGCCUUCCUCGGAGCCGGCUAUGCCCACCUCCCACGAGGCUCGCCGAGGAUGUUCACCCUCAACGAGGUUCGUGACCACCGCGGCAUCCUCCUACUGCUCAUGGUCACCUUCACCAUCCCGUUUGACGUGCGCGAGCUCCUCGGCCAAGUCUUUUGGUGCGGCUGCGAGGCCAUCUUCUUCACCGUCUACAACAUCUACACCAACUACGAGAACAUCUUCCCCACUCCAGCCGGGAUGCACUCCCUUCCCUACGACGACUACGAGGAGGUGUGA